rnacentral:rRNA from 2 species
AGGGAGCAAGCGUUGUUCGGAAUGACUGGGCGUAAAGGGUGCGUAGGCGGUUAUACAAGUUAGAAGUGAAAUACCCAGGGCUUAACUCGGGUGCUGCUUCUAAAACUGUAAGACUUGAGUGCAGUAGAGGUUAGUGGAAUUCCUAGUGUAGCGGUGGAAUGCGUAGAUAUUAGGAGGAACACCAGAGGCGAAGGCGGCUAACUGGACUGCAACUGACGCUGAGGCACGAAAGUGUGGGGAGCAAACAGGAUUAGAUACCCUGGUAGUCCACACUGUAAACGAUGGAUACUAGAUGUAGGAGGUAUCGACUCCUUCUGCGUCGCAGUUAACACGAUAAGUAUCCCGCCUGGGGAGUACGGCCGCAAGGUUG